rnacentral:lncRNA from 1 species
GGCGGCUCACUCAGGACCCAGCGGGGGCAGCGCGAUGAGGCGGGUGACCCUGUUCCUGAACGGCAGCCCCAAGAACGGAAAGUGUAAGAGACUUAAAUGAAUAUGACUGUCACACAAAAAAGGUGUGUCCUACUUCAACACUCAACAUUCAAGAAAUAUUUGUCAAAGACCUGCUGUAAGCCAGGUGGUUGCUGUAUAUGGAACUUUAUCUGAUUUGCUUUCUGUGGCCAGCAGUAAACUCGGCAUAAAAGCCACCAGUGUGUAUAAUGGGAAAGGUGGACUGAUUGAUGAUAUUGCUUUGAUCAGGGAUGAUGAUGUUUUGUUUGUUUGUGAAGGAGAGCCAUUUAUUGAUCCUCAGACAGAUUCUAAGCCUCCUGAGGGAUUGUUAGGAUUCCACACAGACUGGCUGACAUUAAAUGUUGGAGGGCGGUACUUUACAACUACACGGAGCACUUUAGUGAAUAAAGAACCUGACAGUAUGCUGGCCCACAUGUUUAAGGAC